rnacentral:rRNA from 1 species
UAUGAGAUAUCCCAAGUAGAGAAAUSUAUCAGCAGUCGAGAAUCUCAGUGUAUGACUCGCGAGAGUGUAAAAGGAAAAUAAUAAGCUAUCGUAUCAUGAGUGUUGUCACAUGUGAGAUGUCAGAAGACUCAAUGAGUCAGAGACGCUAGUGCCUCUCUGUCAACGAUAAAUGGUAGUAGUUAGUUUAAAUAUAAGCUAGUAACGAUGUUACACGUUAACCAUUCCGCCUUGUGAGUACAAUUGCAAAGUUGAAAAUAAAAAAAUUAGUCGGUUUCGGAGCAAACGAAGUGAAGCAUGUUAUUUAAUUCGAUAAUCCGCA